GCGACUUCAAAAGCUGUUUGCAAUUUUAUAUUUGCAUCUCACUGCCAAGGUGCUUGUCUUAUCUUCAGUCAGUUGGCUGGGCCUCUCUGAGUUCGGGUUGCCCUGAACACACUCCAUGCCCAGUUCGGUGGAGAAGGGAGGAUGCUGUCCGGGAGGCAGGCCAUCAGGACUGAUGUUCUGUUCUCACUCUGUAUCAGUUCUCUGACCCUGAGCAAGACAAAGCUUUUGUGACACCCAGUUUCCUCACCUGUCAAUCUAGUGGGGAGGCUGGUGGAGCGGGGAAAUGCCACAGAUGCAGCGUGUCUGGGUUUCAGGAAGAUGCGUGGCAGAGUCUCUGGCGACAUCCUUGUGGGAA